AUUGAACGCUGGCGGCAUGCCUUACACAUGCAAGUCGAACGGCAGCACGGGUGCUUGCACCUGGUGGCGAGUGGCGAACGGGUGAGUAAUACAUCGGAACGUACCUUAUCGUGGGGGAUAACGCAGCGAAAGCUGUGCUAAUACCGCAUACGCCCUGAGGGGGAAAGCGGGGGAUCGCAAGACCUCGCGCGAUUAGAGCGGCCGAUGCCUGAUUAGCUUGUUGGUGGGGUAAAAGCCCACCAAGGCGACGAUCAGUAGCUGGUCUGAGAGGACGAUCAGCCACACUGGGACUGAGACACGGCCCAGACUCCUACGGGAGGCAGCAGUGGGGAAUUUUGGACAACGGGGGCAACCCUGAUCCAGCAAUGCCGCGUGAGUGAAGAAGGCCUUCGGGUCGUAAAGCUCUUUUGUCAGGGAAGAAACACCGGCUCUAACACAGUCCGGGAAUGACGGUACCUGAAGAAUAAGCACCGGCUAACUACGUGCCAGCCGCCGCCGUAA
rnacentral:rRNA from 1 species